rnacentral:rRNA from 1 species
ACGAACGCUGGCGGCGUGCUUAACACAUGCAAGUCGAACGGUGAAGGGGUCUGCUUUUGUGGGCCCUGGAUGAGUGGCGAACGGGUGAGUAACACGUGAGUAACCUGCCCCCUUCUUCUGGAUAACCGCAUGAAAGUGUGGCUAAUACGGGAUAUUCUGGGUCUGUCGCAUGAUGGGUCUGGGAAAGAUUGCGCCUUUGGGUGUUUUUGGUGGGGGAUGGGCUCGCGGCCUAUCAGCUUGUUGGUGGGGUGAUGGCCUACCAAGGCGGUGACGGGUAGCCGGCCUGAGAGGGUGGACGGUCACACUGGGACUGAGACACGGCCCAGACUCCUACGGGAGGCAGCAGUGGGGAAUAUUGCACAAUGGGCGCAAGCCUGAUGCAGCGACGCCGCGUGAGGGAUGGAGGCCUUCGGGUUGUAAACCUCUUUCGCCAGUGAAGCAGGCCUGCUCCUUGUGGGUGGGUUGACGGUAGCUGGAGAAGAAGCGCCGGCUAACUACGUG